rnacentral:rRNA from 1 species
AGAGUUUGAUCCUGGCUCAGGACGAACGCUGGCGGCGUGCUUAACACAUGCAAGUCGAACGAAAAUACCAAGCUUGCUUGGUUGAUUAGUGGCGAACGGGUGAGUAACACGUGAGUAACCUGCCCCUUACUUUCCUGGAUAACUGCUCGAAAGGGUAGCUAAUACGGGAUAUUCUGACCAUCCUGCAUGGGUUGGUUUGGAAAGGUUGUUUUUCUGGUAAGGGAUGGGCUCGCGGCCUAUCAGCUUGUUGGUGGGGUGAUGGCCUACCAAGGCUUUGACGGGUAGCCGGCCUGAGAGGGUGGACGGUCACACUGGGACUGAGAUACGGCCCAGACUCCUACGGGAGGCAGCAGUGGGGAAUAUUGCACAAUGGGCGCAAGCCUGAUGCAGCGACGCCGCGUGAGGGAUGAAGGCCUUCGGGUUGUAAACCUCUUUCGUCAGGGAACAAGGCACUACGUUUUGGUGGUGUUGAGGGUACCUGGAUAAGAAGCGCCGGCUAACUACGUGCCAGCAGCCGCGGUAAUACGUAGGGCGCAAGCGUUGUCCGGAAUUAUUGGGCGUAAAGAGCUCGUAGGCGGCUGGUCGCGUCUGUCGUGAAAACUUCCGGCUCAACCGGGGGCUUGCGGUGGGUACGGGCCGGCUAGAGUGCGGUAGGGGUAACUGGAACUCCUGGUGUAGCGGUGGAAUGCGCAGAUAUCAGGAAGAACACCGAUGGCGAAGGCAGGUUACUGGGCCGUUACUGACGCUGAGGAGCGAAAGCGUGGGGAGCGAACAGGAUUAGAUACCCUGGUAGUCCACGCUGUAAACGUUGGGCACUAGGUGUGAGGCUCCUUUCCGGGGGUUUUGCGCCGUAGCUAACGCAUUAAGUGCCCCGCCUGGGGAGUACGGCCGCAAGGCUAAAACUCAAAGGAAUUGACGGGGGCCCGCACAAGCGGCGGAGCAUGCGGAUUAAUUCGAU